rnacentral:rRNA from 1 species
AUUGAACGCUGGCGGCAGGCCUAACACAUGCAAGUCUGGCGAGCGGAGGACGGGUGAGUAACGUAUGGGGGCCUGCCUGAUGUAGGGCGCUAACCACUGGAAACGGUACCUAAUCCCGCAUAACACCAUACUCACCUAUAUGCGCGUAGCUUGUAGGUAAGGUAACGGCUUACUUAGGCUACGAUCCCUAGCUGGUCUGCGAGGAUGAUCAGCCACACUGCGACUGAGACACGGCCCAGACUCCUACGUGAGGCAGCAGUGGGGAAUCUUGCACAAUGGGCGCAAGGCUGAUGCAGCCAGGCCGCGUGUAUGAAGAAGGCCUUCGGGUUGUAAAGUACUUUCAGUCGGGAGGCGUUACCGACAGAAGAAGCACCGGCUAACUCCGUGCCAGCAGCCGCGGUAAUAC